GGGGAAUCUUCCGCAAUGGGCGAAAGCCUGACGGAGCAAUACCGCGUGAGGGAGGACGGCUUUUGGGUUGUAAACCUCUUUUAUCAGGGAGGAAUCGAUGACGGUACCUGAUGAAUCAGCAUCGGCUAACUCCGUGCCGGCAGCCGCGGUAAUACGGAGGAUGCAAGCGUUAUCCGGAAUUAUUGGGCGUAAAGCGUCCGUAGGUGGUUUAUCAAGUCUGCUGUCAAAGCGUGCGGCUUAACCGCAUAAGGGCAGUGGAAACUGAUGAACUAGAGUGCGAUAGGGGUAACAGGAAUUCCCAGUGUAGCGGUGAAAUGCGUAGAUAUUGGGAAGAACACCAGCGGCGAAAGCGUGUUACUGGGUCUGCACUGACACUGAGGGACGAAAGCUAGGGGAGCGAAAAGGAUUAGAUACCC
rnacentral:rRNA from 1 species